rnacentral:rRNA from 1 species
GAGUAAUAUCUGGGAAUCUACCCAAAAGAGGGGGAUAACUACUAGAAAUGGUAGCUAAUACCGCAUAAAGUUGAAAAACCAAAGUGGGGGACCUUUUAGGCCUCAUGCUUUUGGAUGAGCCCAGACGAGAUUAGCUUGUUGGUAAGGUAAAAGCUUACCAAGGCUUCGAUCUCUAGCUGGUCUGAGAGGAUAGCCAGCCACACUGGAACUGAGACACGGUCCAGACUCCUACGGGAGGCAGCAGUGGGGAAUAUUGCACAAUGGGCGAAAGCCUGAUGCAGCUAUGCCGCGUGUAUGAAGAAGGCCUUAGGGUUGUAAAGUACUUUCAGCG